CCUUAACGGCUAAGAAUUGAUGACUCAAAGUCACAUUUUGCUCCCUUUUAAUUGGUUGUCGUCUAAUACUCAAACUUAUCACUUUAGCAAACUUCUUAUGAUUCGUACCCUUAAUUUCUUUCAAGUUCCUGGAAUAAUAAUACUCCAUAUAUAGUUAACGUAUCACCGUACAUGCAUAACUACCGCGGCUAUCAGAGUUCUUCCCUUUGCUUGAAAUGGUUGUGGUCAUCUCUUUCCUUGCCACCAAGCUCACGCACCGCAGCCACGUACUCUUCUCCUUCCUCCAUUCAUGGCAUGCUUGGUGAAACUAAGAAUGGUCUUUGAGACUACUCUGUACACGUGAAACCAAAGUCUCCCGAAAGUAUGUUAAUAAUCAACGAAUAACUUAUUAUAAGAUAAAUAACUUAAUAAAUGAAAGUGAAAGACCUGGCCCGUCUAGCAGUAUAUGUUAUGUUUCGGUCAUGCAAUGCAUGUACCCAUGGGGCACCAACCCAACUAUGUCGAGCACCUGCUCUAUGUUAUGGGCACCGGCCCAUCGCGGAAGACGUUCCGCCAUGUCAUACUGUCCAACGACUAGCAUUUCCACCAAAAAGAUUACGAAUUCCUGAAUUAUAUUAAAGGACUUAUGAGAACUCACAAGGAUACUCUAUUGAUGAGUAAUAUAAUAUGUUGAUAUGUACGAUAGUUUAUAUAGAUGUCUUACCAUCAUACAAGUUGAUAAGAAUGCUAUGAACGACAGGUUUUUCUAGUUAUUUUGUUAAUUAUAAAUUAUGUGUAUGUGAUCUGUUUUGCUAAUGUCCCUGUUAAGUUUAAUGAUAAUGAUUAUUUUAUUCAA